GGACGUUAGAAAGAAAGGCUGGAAGAGGGAUGUGGAAGAGGUGUAUGCUCUUCAUUGGGUAAGACUUGGGCAUUUUUAACGCUAAUAGAAAGGAUUCAAUUGAGAUGUAGGGUCUAAAUAUGUAAGAGAAGGAAGGCGAAAUUGUUCACAAGAAGAUAAAGCAGAAGGGUCCAAAGCACAGAGAGAAGGACCAAUGGCAGACAGGAUGGACAACUUCUUUUCCUACAGUGAAAAGGAGCAACAUUAGAUUCUGAUGUAGCCCACAGCUCUCUUUCAGACCUCUGAAGUCACACCCAGUGGUCUAGUCAACAUUUCCUCUUGCAGAGAUUGUAAAGGUUUCAAUCUUAACACCAUGUGACUAAUUCGGUCUCUAUGAUCAAAGCCUUAUAAGAAAGAAUGACUGGUUGACCCGACAUGGACCAAGUGACCGUUCUUGUUCCCAGUGUGUUGUGGGCUAAGAAGAGAUGGGCACAGAAUGAUGGGAACGCAGAGCGAAAGGGCCCAACUCUACCAGGAGGGGAAGAUAAAAACUCCUGAAGAAAUUAUACAAAAAUAGAAUACUUACAACAGAAUUCUCAACAUCAUUUUUCCCUGUUUGAAUCCAGCAAGUCAGCCAUUGGUCACUUAAGAGCACUAACCCCUCCCUGGUUUGAAGAUGUUCUUGACUUUAAAUACAAACAUCUGAUAUUCCAGCUUAGACUCCUCCACAAGAACUAGAGUGUCAUCCUAUUUUGGCUUCCAGCUCAGUCCCUCUGCUACAAGUCUUGACUCCAGAACUCUGUGGGAUAAUAAAAUACAAGAUCAUAGCUUGAAAA
ensembl:lncRNA LINC00626 long intergenic non-protein coding RNA 626